rnacentral:rRNA from 1 species
CCUAUGGUGUGCAGCAGUGGGGGAUAUUGCACAAUGGGGGAAACCCUGAUGCAGCGACGCCGCGUGGGUGAAGAAGCGCCUCGGCGCGUAAAGCCCUGUCAGCAGGGAAGAAAAUGACGGUACCUGAAGAAGAAGCCCCGGCUAACUACGUGCCAGCAGCCGCGGUAAUACGUAGGGGGCAAGCGGUAGCCGGAUUUACUGGGUGUAAAGGGGGCGCAGACGGCGAUGCAAGCCAGGAGUGAAAGCCCGGGGCCCAACCCCGGGACUGCUCUUGGAACUGCGUGGCUAGAGUGCAGGAGGGGCAGGCGGAAUUCCUGGGGUAGCGGUGAAAUGCGUAGAUAUCAGGAGGAACACCGGUGGCGAAGGCGGCCUGCUGGACUGCAACUGACGUUGAGGCCCGAAAGCGUGGGGAGCAAACAGGAUUAGAUACCCCUGUAGUC